rnacentral:tRNA from 1 species
GGAGAGGUGGCAGAGCGGACGAAUGCGCCGGUCUCGAAAACCGGUAUACGGUCAAACGUAUCGAGGGUUCGAAUCCCUCCCUCUCCGCCA